rnacentral:lncRNA from 1 species
AAAUUAAGAAUAAAUCUCGUCUGUCCCUCUGUCUAAGGUAAAAUUAAUGGUGUAAUUGUCUAUUAUGUCAUUCUAUAUGUACUUCUUGUCAAUUUGUUCGCGCCAAGUUUAUUGGAUUUUAGUUAGGUUAAAAACGCGGAACCCCGGCACUUUGGCGUGACUGGUAUUCCGAACUUGUACUUUGUACUUGUCUUGUUUCAUGUGAUUUGUUAAUGGGCUGUUAGUUCAUUAUUAUACGAAACUUUUAACACAAAGGUGGUACAGUUAGACGAACUAGCGGGCAGUACUCUGGAACUCUGGCAGAACUGGCGCACACCACUCAAGCACUCAAGCAAGAGGUACUGUGGCCUCCGAUUAAGGAGAGGAAAGCGUGUAGAAAGGCUCUUACUCACGGAGUCCAAGCUGACAGCAAUUGGAGGCCUUUUGGGCACCCACUAUUCUUACGGGUUCGUAAGAAUAGUAGUUUUUUUCAUCUGUCCUCCGGUUUUUUAUAAUUAAUUUUGUGGCUGGUCAGAACUACUUUUAAUUAAUUAAAAUUUUAACCAUCUUUGCUUCCUUCCUGUCAAUAAAAUACGAUUUAAGAUUC